rnacentral:rRNA from 1 species
UACAGAGGGGGCAAGCGUUGUUCGGAAUUACUGGGCGUAAAGGGCGCGUAGGCGGCCUGCUAAGUCGAACGUGAAAUCCCUGGGCUCAACCCAGGAACUGCGUCCGAUACUGGUUGGCUUGAAUCCGGGAGAGGGAUGUGGAAUUCCAGGUGUAGCGGUGAAAUGCGUAGAUAUCUGGAGGAACACCGGUGGCGAAGGCGGCAUCCUGGACCGGCAUUGACGCUGAGGCGCGAAAGCGUGGGGAGCAAACGGG